rnacentral:rRNA from 1 species
GCGCGGCCUAAUANUGCAAGUCGAGGGAGAAGUUUGGCUUCGGCCAGAUGGAAACCGGCGCACGGGUGCGUAACACGUAUGCAAUGUGCCUUCAACAGGGGGAUAGCCCGGAGAAAUUCGGAUUAAUACCCCAUAAUGUAUAGAGAUCGCAUGGUUUCUAUAUUAAAGCUACGGCGGUUGAAGAUCAGCAUGCGCCCCAUUAGUUAGUUGGUGAGGUAACGGCUCACCAAGACCACGAUGGGUAGGGGGUCUGAGAGGAUGAUCCCCCACACUGGUACUGAGACACGGACCAGACUCCUACGGGAGGCAGCAGUAGGGAAUAUUGGGCAAUGGACGAAAGUCUGACCCAGCCAUGCCGCGUGCAGGAUGACUGCCCUACGGGUUGUAAACUGCUUUUAUAUGGGAAGAAACCCCUGAUUUCUAUCAGGGCUGACGGUACCAUACGAAUAAGGAUCGGCUAACUCCGUGCCAGCAGCCGCGGUAAUACGGAGGAUCCAAGCGUUGUCCGGAUUUAUUGGGUUUAAAGGGUGCGUAGGCGGGAUAAUAAGUCAGUGGUGAAAGCCUACAGCUUAACUGUAGAAUUGCCAUUGAAACUGUUAUUCUUGAGUUCGGUUGAGGUGGAUGGAAUAUAUCAUGUAGCGGUGAAAUGCUUAGAUAUGAUAUA